UUAGAUCUAUAUCAACGGUAUUUAAUCAGUAGAUGACGAAGCGUUUUUCAAAUUAUCUACCUGUAUUGUACCUGUACUAAGUUUAACAACAAACAUUACAGGAAGAUCUGCGUAUACGGAAAACUAAAAGGAAAAAAAGAUGGGAGUGAAGGUUCAAGUUGAGUAUUGUAGCGGAUGAGGUUACGCAGGCAAGUACGAGGCGCUUCGCAAGCGCAUCCUUGCCGAGGUAACUGGUGCUGACAUUAUAGGAUCAAGGGGUCGCAAAAAUUCAUUUGAAAUUACGAUAAAUGGCAAACUUGUUUUUUCCAAAUUGAAUUUGAAAGGAUGGCCAAUUGAGGAAGAUCUGAUAGAGGUUAUACGUCAAGCAGAUAGUGGUAUGGAACCAAAGGAACUGUCGACAUGCAGGAAAGAUAGUUGUGUGAUUUGUUAAACCGUGAUGUGAUUAAAAAGACAGACAUAAAAAUGAAACAUUUUGUAAAAUGUAAAUUAAUCUUCUGUUCGUAUUUGAUAUUCAUGUAGUUCACUGAAUGAAAGGACAUAUGGGGUAAAAUCAGAAACAAAUCUUGAUAAAACUGCUCAACAGGAAAUUAACCCCCGCCCAUGAAUCACAAAACAUUUUUUUCUAUUUCAAGUUAAUAAUCUUAUGUUUCUAUAUAAAACUGAAACCUACGAACAAGGCAAAUAUUGUGAAUCAAAUAAAGUAGUUGAAAGCCCUGGAAAAAUAAAAAAUAUGAUAGAUAAUGGAAUCUUAACAAUAUUUGAUAAAGAAAUAUUUUAGAAUAUAGCAGACGAAAAAGGAAAUAAAUAAAUGAUCAAAUUAUCAAUAUCUUUGCUUUAAAAACUUAAAACUAUUCAGUUCCUUGAAUGCGAGAAAUAAAUUGGCGAUAAACCUUAGGAAAACAGCCACUUCAUUAAACAAAAAUGCAUUGAUAAUAUAACAGACGAUAAUAUUCGUUAUUGAAGCUCACGGUAAAAUUAAUGACAUCUUCAUUAAAAAAGUCGAUUACAUCGUUCAUAUUUCUGAUUUUUUAAUAGUUAUCAUUUUAUCAAUAAAUGAAAGCUGUGGUAAAAAGUGAUGGACCCACAGUUUGAUGUAUAGUUGAAGAAUGGUAGUUUUCUUAAUCAAUCACAAAUAAGAUCGUUCUGUAUGCAGACCCACAAUUAUUAAAGACAUUAAAAUUGAAAGUGUGUUUGUCUAUUUUUGUUUGUACUAGUUCUGUAAUGUUGAGCACUGCGUCUGUUUAAUAAAUAGUUCUGUUAUGUUGAGCACUGCGUCUGUUUAAUAUUUAGUUCUGUAAUGUUGAGCACUGCGUCUGUUUAAUAUUUAGUUCUGUAAUGUUGAGCACUGCGUCUGUUUAAUAUCUAGUUCUGUAAUGUUGAGCACUGCGUCUGUUUAAUAUUUAGUUCUGUAAUGUUGAGCACUGCGUCUGUUUAAUAUCUAGUUCUGUAAUGUUGAGCACUGCGUCUGUUUAAUAUUUAGUUCUGUAAUGUUGAGCACUGCGUCUGUUUAACAUUCAGUUCUGUAAUGUUGAGCAUUGCGUCUGUUUGAUAUUUAGUUCUGUAAUGUUGAGCAUUGCGUCUGGUUAAUAUUUAGUUCUGUAAUGUUGAGCAUAGCGUCUGUUUAAUAUUUAGUUCUGUAAUGUUGAGCACUGCGUCUGUUUAAUAUUUAGUUCUGUCAUGUUGAGCACUGCGUCUGUUUAAUAUUUAGUUCUGUAAUGUUGAGCACUGCGUCUGUUUGAUAUUUAGUUCUGUAAUGGUGAGCACUGCGUCUAUUUAAAAUUUAGUUCUGGCAUGUUGAGCACUGCGUCUGUUUAAUAUUUAGUUCUGUAAUGGUGAGCACUGCGUCUGUUUAAUAUUUAGUUCUGUAAUGUUGAGCACUGCGUCUGUUUAAUAUUUAGUUCUGUAAUGUUGAGCACUGCUUCUGUUUAAUAUUUAGUUCUGUAAUGUUGAGCACUGCGUCUGUUUAAUAUUUAGUUUUGUAAUGUUGAGCACUGCGUCUGUUUAAUAAAUAGUUCUGUUAUGUUGA